rnacentral:tRNA from 1 species
GGGCCGUUAGCUCAGCGGUAGAGCAGUUGCCUCUUAAGCAAUUGGUCGUGGGUUCGAAUCCCACACGGCCCUCCA